CACGUAGGGCGCAAGCGUUGUCCGGAAUUAUUGGGCGUAAAGAGCUCGUAGGCGGUCUGUUGCGUCCGCUGUGAAAACUCGGGGCUUAACCCCGAGCCUGCAGUGGAUACGGGCAGACUAGAGGUAGGUAGGGGAGAAUGGAAUUCCCGGUGUAGCGGUGAAAUGCGUAGAUAUCGAGAGGAACACCUGCGGCGAAGGCGGGUUGCUGGGCUGACACUGACGCUGAGGCGCGAAAGCUAGGGGAGCGAACGGG
rnacentral:rRNA from 1 species